GACGAACGCUGGCGGCGUGCUUAACACAUGCAAGUCGAACGGAAAGGCCCUGCUUUUGUGGGGUGCUCGAGUGGCGAACGGGUGAGUAACACGUGAGUAACCUGCCCUUGACUUUGGGAUAACUUCAGGAAACUGGGGCUAAUACCGGAUAGGAGCUCCUGCUGCAUGGUGGGGGUUGGAAAGUUUCGGCGGUUGGGGAUGGACUCGCGGCUUAUCAGCUUGUUGGUGGGGUAGUGGCUUACCAAGGCUUUGACGGGUAGCCGGCCUGAGAGGGUGACCGGCCACAUUGGGACUGAGAUAUGGCCCAGACUCCUACGGGAGGCAGCAGUGGGGAAUAUUGCACAAUGGGCGGAAGCCUGAUGCAGCAACGCCGCGUGCGGGAUGACGGCUUUCGGGUUGUAAACCGCUUUCGCCUGUGACGAAGCGUGAGUGACGGUAAUGGGUAAAGAAGCACCGGCUAACUACGUG
rnacentral:rRNA from 1 species